CUCUCAAAAGUUAUAGAAAUUACUCUCUAUUUUUUUAUCUUUUUAUUUCUACUCCAAUAUAUUUAAAGUUUAAUUAUUUACUCUGUAUUCUACUUUUUAAUACUCCAUAUAAUUUUAUAAGUUUUUGUUUUUACUCUUCUUCCACUUUCACCAAUUUCUCAUCUUCUCUGGAUUAUUUCACACAGCUCCACCACCGUCGUCCGUUUCUGCAACCUUUACCCGCUCGACAAUAACCAGACUCCGCAUCCGCCGCUUUCUCCUCCAGUUCUUCGCAUGAGCAACCUAAUCUGUCAUCCCCUCUAUGCAUAACCACUACCGUCGCUCAUUAAUGGCUUUCUGUAGCUGCUUUUGUAUAAACGCCACCAUUGCUUCCUCUUCUCUGGCUUUUGCUUGCCAAACUUAUGCUUCGACAAUUGCAAUGAAUUUUCCUGGUCGGCACGUCGGCAACAAUCAUGUCAUUGUGCUUCGGCGACAGUAGUGGAAGCGAUCUUCGACGGUGAAGUGGAGGCGAUCUUCAGCCGCAAGUGAAACGAUAAGUGGUGAAUCAUAUUUUCUUAUUCUCUGGAUGGUUACGGGAGUUUUAAAGUCUAGGAUUUCUUAAAGCAAUCAUUCCUCAACUAUUGAAGAGAAAUGAGCAGAUAUGUAAAAAAAUAAUGUGACUGAAGUAUGGUUUAUCGGCUUUAAAGAGUUGAUAAUUAUUAAUAGCUACCAACGCAAGAGGAGAUUAUUGUAUUUAUUGAUUCAUUGUAUUUUAUGAUUAAGGAGAGGCUUAUAUAUGUUGCAUCUUUGUUUGACAUUUAAUGAAAUAAUAAAAUUGAAUUGAAUAAAUAA